UUUGAGACCAGCCUGGCCAACAUGUGAAACCCCAUCUCUACUAAAAAUACAAAAAUUAAUGGCUGUAGGGACAGGCGCUUGUAAUCCCAGCUACUCAGGAGGCUGAGGCACAAGAAUCACUUGAACCUGGAAGGCAGAGGUUGCAGUGAGCUGAGAUCACACCACUCCACUCCAGCCUGGACAAAGAGUGAGACUGUCUGAAAAAAAAGUAAAAUUAAUUAACUACUUGCUGAAAUGACAUGGAUGGGAUUUCAAAAUUAUGCUCAUUGAAAGAAGCCAGACACAAAAUACCACUAACUGAAUGAUUCAAUUUAUAUAAAAUUCUAGAAAAGACCAAGUUAUAGUGACAGAACACAUAUCAGUGUUGCCAGUUGUCAGGGAGGUGGAAGAAGAGAAGUAACUUCAAAAAACACAUGGGAGCUUUUUGGGAUAAUGGAAAUAUUCUGUAUAAUGAUUAUGAUGAUGGUUACCUUGUAAAAUACACUUAUAAAAUUAAUGCAAUUGUAUUCUUUAAAUAGGUGAAUUUCAUUGUAUGAAAAUUGUAUCCCAAUAAAGCUAACAAAAAAAAAGUAGGUCAAAGACUUGAACAGGUGCUUCAUAAAAGAGAACAUCCAAAUGACCAAUAAGCUUAUGAAAAGGCAUAAAUUAAAAGUAGAAUGAGAUACCAUUAUGCUCCUAUCAUUAUGUCUAAAAUCAAAAAGAUGGAAAAUACCAAGGAUUGCUGAGGACAUUGGCACAACUGGAACUCUCCUAUGCUGCUCACAGGGAUGUAAAUUGGUAUUACCACUUUGGAAAAUUGUUUGGCAGUGUCUAGGAAAGCUGAAUAUGUGCAUAAACUAUGACUGGGUAAUUCUAGUUCUGUUUGUAGUCAAAAUUUGGGAACCAGUAGAAAGGAUAAAUAAAUGGUGGUAAAUCUGUGCAAUGCAAUAGUACACAGCGAUGAGAAUGAAUGAAUUACUGCUACAUAUGACAUGGAAGGAGCAUAUAAACAUAAUACUGAGUGAAAGAAACCAUACACAAAAGGGUACAUUUAUUUAAAGUUAGAAAUCAGGGCCUGGCGCGGUGGCUCACGCCUGUAAUACCAGCACUUUGGGAGGCCGAGGUGGGCAGAUCAUGAGGUCAAGAGAUCGAGACCAUCCUGGCCAACAUGGAGAAACCCUGUCUCUACUAAAAAUACAAAAAUUUGCUGGGCGUGGUGGCACAUGCCUUACCCUUCUGGAAAUAGUCUUUGUUAUUAUUUGGGUCAGUUGAGUUUUUUUGUUGUAAGCAACAGAAACUAACUUAAAUGAAAAAGAGAUUUCCUUUCAAGCCAUAUAGGAGUAGCUUACAGAAUCAACAUUGUUGGACAGAUUCAUUGUUUUUCACAGUUCUGUGGGUUGGCUGAAUGGCUCCUCUGCUGUUUUCACCUGGACUGACUUAUGUGGCUGUGUUGAAUUGGAGGGUCCAGGAUGGCCUCAUUCAUAGGAAUUCAAACUCUGUUUAAAUGCUUCCCAGGAGGCUGAGGUGGGCGGAUCAUGAGGUCAAGAGAUCGAGACCAUCCUGGCCAACCAACAUGGUGAAACCCCAUCUCUAAAAGGAAAAAGUGAUAAAACUGGACUUCAUUAAAAUAAAUAAACACUUUUUUCUUUUCUUUUUUUUUUUUUAGUUAGAAAGACCCUGUAAAGAGCUUGAAAAAAUGAAUUACAGAGUGGGAGAAAUAAUUUGCAUAUCAUAUAUCUGACAAAGAACUUACAUCUAGCAUAUGUAAAAGAUUCUCAAAACUCAAUAGUAAUAAAUAAGGUAUCCAAUUAGAAAAUAGGCAUAUGUGACCUCUCUGUAUUAUAACUUAAACCUCCUGUGACUACAGUUAUUUCAAAUGAAAUAAACAAAACAGUAACGCCUGUUUCUGGCAUAUAAAAUAAUCAGAGAACAUAGAAUUGUACAAAGUUAAAUUAUUGGGCCAUUUACUUAAUUUAAAUAUUUUUAAAUGCGUGUACCCAUUUUGCUUGAAGGUGUGUGCAAGUAUGCUUGUAUUUUUUUAACGAUAAUAUGGUCACAUGAGCANNNNNNNNNNNNNNNNNNN
rnacentral:lncRNA from 1 species